rnacentral:rRNA from 1 species
GCAGCACGGAGCUUGCUCUGGUGGCGAGUGGCGAACGGGUGAGUAAUAUAUCGGAACGUACCCUGGAGUGGGGGAUAACGUAGCGAAAGUUACGCUAAUACCGCAUACGAUCUACGGAUGAAAGUGGGGGAUCGCAAGACCUCAUGCUCGUGGAGCGGCCGAUAUCUGAUUAGCUAGUUGGUAGGGUAAAAGCCUACCAAGGCAUCGAUCAGUAGCUGGUCUGAGAGGACGACCAGCCACACUGGAACUGAGACACGGUCCAGACUCCUACGGGAGGCAGCAGUGGGGAAUUUUGGACAAUGGGCGAAAGCCUGAUCCAGCAAUGCCGCGUGAGUG